ACACUUACCUGGUAGGGUAGAUACAGUGAUCAUGAGUCUUGUUUUCCCUGAGGUAGGCCUAUCCAUUGCACUCUGUAUGUGCCGAUCCCUACAUUUUGCCCAAAUUUGGGAAACUCAACUGCAUAAUUUGUGGUAGUAGGGAACUGAGUUCAUGCUUUCCCCUA
ensembl:snRNA U1 U1 spliceosomal RNA